GGGACUCCUUCCACAUGCAGCUGUAGGUGUGGGGUGUCCACGGGAGAAGUUAAUUCUCAUGGGAGAGAUUGUGGAAAAACAGCCACGUAGGAGAACCCAGCUGUUCCUCUGCAAAUAAGCAUGGCAGGAGCUACUUGUGAACAAAAACAGGCCUGGGAGAACGCCAGACGUCCACGUAGAGGUUUUAGCAGCACAGUGGAAGGAAUAAAGAGAUGAAGAAGAAAAAGAAAACAACCUCAUUUGCCUGCAUCAUUUCCAUUCCCCACGCCAGCACUACUGAGCUCUAAGAAGGAGCGUCCCAGCGUGGAAGAGUUUCUUUUGCCGGGUCCGCAAGAGCAGGGUGAGGAACCAUCUUUGCGGGCCUCUUGGAACAGAGUUAGGCUCCAGCUUCUGUUUCACCGCAUCGAGACAGGCAGAGCUAAGAUGUAUAUUUAACCAGCUAGAAACAAGGUAGAAAAAGAGGCUAAGUAGACAUGCAGUGGAGACCGUCACGGUUCAGAGAGUGGCUUUGCAGACAAACACGGCAGAUUCUGUCACUGAUGGAGCCAGUAGUUGGCGCAACCACCACAGGCCCCUCACUCUCCCUGCAACUCUCAGCAGCUUUCCCCCCACAGGUAUUUGCGCUUGGCAACACCAGCCACCUGUUUCCCUCCUUGAGCCGUGCCUUCGACCCUCUCUGCCUUCUGCAACUUUCAGAGUACAAGAUGCCAGCCUAGGCCCCAACAGGUGGCUCACACUAAACCCCCAUUCAGGGCUGGUAGCACCUGUAGCUCUGUACAGCUUUCUGAUGCCCAUCACCAACCUCCAGUGUGGUGCACACGCUUGGAUGGAAAAUACGCAGCCAUGGGUGAGUGUAUUGCCAGCCAGGGCCACUGCAGCACUCUCUGGGCCCAAAUAAGGCUGUGCCUUCAGUCUGGAACCACUGUGCACCUGCAUGCCAACAUCCAGGGUCUCUACCUCUGCCUGAGAGCACAGCUGAAUGCAGCCCAUGAUACUGGCUCUGGCCCCCAUCACUCCAUGUGUGUCUUUAAUGGGGCUCUGCUACUACAGGACCUGCUGCUGGUCCCAAAGCCAAGUGCAUGUUAAGCUAAAUAUAUGACACCCCCCGGACAGAGUGCUACCAAAUGCCACAAUACCACACCCUGCACCACUAGAACUCAGGUCAGGGUCAUUCACCGACAGAUGAAAGGUUUCCCUUACCAAAGCUGGUGCAUCGAGUCUAGAAGAGGUUACUCCUUUUUUCAAAUGCACAAAAACCUAUGCAGAGUUACAAGGAUCACAAAGAAUGAGGGAGAUACAGCUUCUCCAAAGUAAUACAGUAAACCUGCAAUACCUGGCCCCAAAGAAAUCAAAGAUCCAGAAACUACGAGAGAAAGUCUUUUUUUUUUUUUGGUUGAGCGUACAGCAUGUGGACAUUCCAAGGCCAGGGAUCAAAUACACACCAUAGCAGUGACCCAAGCUACUGCAGUGACAACGCCAGAUCCUUUACCUGCUGUGCCACAAGAAAACUCCAAGAGAUUUUCUAAAAAUGGAGAGUAUAAACAAUCCAAAGAUACUAGGAAAACCAUACACAAACAAAAUGAAGAGUUCAGCAAAGAUAGAGAAUGUAAAAGAGACACCCCCCCAAAAAAAAAAAUUUUGGAACUAAAGAAUGCUCUAAGUGAAAUAAAGAAUUCAGUAGCUGACUCAAGCAACCAGAAGAAUCAGUGAGCCCAAAGACAGAUCAACUGAAACAGUCCAAUCAGAGGAGAAAAAAAAA
rnacentral:lncRNA from 1 species